UACCACCUUCAGAGUUGUUGAUCAUUUUUCCACUUUCCUUAGAACUGCACUGAACAUGCAGAUGAGAAAGCGACUUAAAGUGGGGUGAACGAAGUGAUGAAUUCAGACAAAAUCAGUCAUCAUUUGAACAUCAGUAUCAUCAGGUCUACAGUGCAGUAAGUAUGAAGACUCUCAGCCUGACGGUGGGACUGCUGCUCGUGGUGUUUGCAGUUUACCACAGCGAUGCCUAGUGAGAUAGCCAUGAUGUCAGUGUCACUGAUGUGUAUUGUCACGAAGACCAACGUUAAUCUCAAGUGAGCUGUAAGUUCUUCACUGUAAUUUCCUGGUGUGAGCUGGUUGGUAAAUGUCUGACAUCCCUAAUUGAGAUUAUGUUUGUCCUUACAUUAUAUUUUACCUGUGAGAUUUUUGCUUAAUAAUCUUGGUCAAAGUCAUAGAAUAGGAGCCUUUAAAUUGUAUUGUUCAUUAAGAUAUAACAGAUUGUCUGGUUGUUAAGUGAUGACGUAUGAACCCUGCUUCCGGGUCUGCGUUUAUUAAGGCUGUUGUAUUUUUAACAUGUUUAAAUGUUUGUAUCUUGUUCUCUUUAAUCUGAACCCCCUAAAAAACCCCAGCAGUGAUCACUGUCAGCCUCUCUUGGUUUUUAUUACCACUAUUCAUAGGCAGCAUGUUUUAAAGUCAGUUUUUAAAACCUUACAGCGUAACUACAGCCCAGCCCAUGCAGCAGCAUAUUAAUGAUCGACCUUGUAUUGUGACAAUGCGACAUAAGAAGACCUUUUACAAAUAUUUGCAAAUUGUAAAUUUUCCAUGUGGGAGACGGAGGAGUGAAUAUUACUUUAAGGUUCUUUACAGUUCCCAUAAAGAGGUGGGGCAUUUUAAAGGGAAAGCAUGUUAAGAGUUCUAAUUAUGUCAGUUAUUUUGUAGACACUGACGAUCCUCUAUUUCUACUAACAUAUCUGAACUUUUAAUUUUUCAGUCAAACAGUCAGUGACCUUUCCAUUUCUUGCAAUUGAGGUAAAACGAUUUGUAGUAUCAAACAUUUCUGUUGAAAAGCAUUUAAAAAUGACUUCCUUGUGAUUGUAUAUGACCACCAACCAAUCAAACUACAUUUUGCACCAUAUCUACUGUUCAACUCAUAUCUAAUCAGCCAAUCAGCCAAAGGAGAUUUAAGGGACUUUGAAUGUGGUGUGGUUGUUGGUGCCAGUUGAGCUGGUCUGAAUAUUUCAUAAAUGGCUGAUUUACUUGAAUUUUCCCACACUUUAGAGUCUCUAGGGUUUACAGAGAAGGGUCUGAUAAAGAGGAAAUAUCCAGUGAGUGGCUGUUCUCUGGGAGAAAAUACUUUGUGAAGGCCAGAGGAAAAUAGACUGAUUUGAGCUGAUAGAAAUCGAACAGUUAUUCAGAUAACCACUGCAAAACCACUUAAUGUCACUCGUGUCAGUUACAAAAAUUAACAUUAGGCUGAAAUUUGUUCUAACUCACCAAAAUGAGACAAUAGAGGAUUUGAAAAAUGUUGCUUGGUGUGAUGUGUUUAGCUGCGACAUUUAGAUGGUAGGUUCAGGAUUUGAUGUAAACAACAUGACAUCCUAGAUCCAUUCUCCCAUGUAUUAAAAACUCAAGCGUAGGUGUUGAUUACCUGGAUCUUGUGCUUUCCAUUCAGCUGACUCCUCAGGACUUGUCUUACCCUCUGCAGGUAAGGCAGGUCAUCUUGGUUCCCACUUGCCUGUGGGAUUCCUAGGUAUCUGUAGCUGUCCUCGAUGUCUGUAAUGUUACCGUCUGGUAGUACAAUCACCUCAGUUCUGACUACCUUCCCUCUCUUCGUUACCAUCCCACUACACCUCUCCAGUCCGAUUGACAUUCCGAUGUUGACGCUGUAGAUCAGGGGUGGAGAACUCCAGGGCUCGAGGGCCGGUGUCCUGCAGGUUUUAGAUAUCACCCUGGGUCAUGUCGUGAAAAUUUCAAGUAACCUGCAAAGACUCAGUGAGUGUUUUUUGAAGUGGAGUUUAUUAUAUACAUUUCUUAUUUCUUAUAUACAAACUGGUAAAAUUCAGAGACAAAGAGAAUUCCAGAGCACAUCACGUCACUCUAUACCUGCCAGUUCAGCUCAUCCUUGAAACCUUCCCUUCAGAGAGAAUUACAACCAGCUAUCACCUCCCUUUUCCCCCCAGAAAUGAGCAACAGGUCCCCCCGCACACAGGUGCCUGGAUGUCUCUGGCCGAUUACAAUGGCCCCACUGUGAAGGUGUGAUAAAGCAUAAAGACACAUUUGUGAUGUAAUCCUAUAUGUAUAUAACUAAAUGACAAAAAGUGAUAUUACUAUUACAAAAGUGAUCAAUACAUAAAAUAAAGAAAUUUCCCAUCACUGUCAACACACCUGAAUCAAAUGAUUAGUUCAUUACCAGGCCUCUGGAGACUUCAAGACAUGUUGAGGAGGUCAUUUAGCCAUUUAAAUCAGCUGUUUUCAAUCAAGGGCAUGUCUAAAUCCUGCAGGACACCGGCCCUCGAGGCCUGGAGUUCCCCCACCCCGCUGUAGAUCCUUCACUGCAGCCUGAGUAAAAGAAAGUUGUGCAGAAAGUGAAGAUUGGGACUCCGCAUGCAUUAUCAGUGCAUGUACUUAUUUGUAAAAUAAUGAGUGGUUUGUUUGAGUUUGUUUUAUCAGAUAUAUUGAGUCCCUUAAACUGUUGUCUUAUGGUACAGAAAAACCCCCAAUCUAUUAACCACCUUUGGGUUGAGGAUCAUUUUUCCCAGUUUCUUAGAAUUUGUUUGAAUAUGCAGAUGAGAAUGUGGCUUGAAGAAGGGUCAUUGGACCGAUCACUUCAGACACGUCAUCAUCAGGUCUACAGUACAGUCAGCAUGAAGACUCUCAGCCUGACAGUGGGACUGCUGCUCGUGCUGUUCACCGUUUACCACAGCGAUGCCUAUCCCGUGGACCCGUCCCUGUUUUCCCGGUGAAGAUCCUUAGUUGUGGAUGACUGGAGAGUGGCUGGUAGAGAGCAGUGAGUGGGCGAAGAAGCGCAAGUGUUUUCCCUUGUCCUCCCCACCUUGGAUUCCCUGGAGCCCGGACCCCUGUCACACUUGUAUAUAGCAAAAUUCCCUGCACUGUCUGUAAAUACACCUGUGAAUGUGAAAUAAACCUCACUGUGUCUUCUGUGUGUGAA